GACGAACGCUGGCGGCGUGCCUAAUACAUGCAAGUCGAGCGCAGGAAACUGACGGAACUCUUCGGAGGGAAGGCAGCGGAAUGAGCGGCGGACGGGUGAGUAACACGUAAGGAACCUGCCUCAAGGAUUGGGAUAACUCCGAGAAAUCGGAGCUAAUACCGGAUAGUUCAACGGACCGCAUGGUCCGCUGAUGAAAGGCGCUUCGGCGUCACCUUGAGAUGGCCUUGCGGUGCGUUAGCUAGUUGGUGGGGUAACGGCACACCAAGGCGACGAUGCAUAGCCGACCUGAGAGGGGGAUAGGCAACACUGGGCCUGAGACACGGCGCAGACUCCUACGGGAGGCAGCAGUAGGGAAUCUUCCACAAUGGACGAAAGUCUGAUGGAGCAACGCCGCGUGAGUGAUGAAGGUUUUCGGAUCGUAAAACUCUGUUGUAAGGGAAGAACACGUACGAGAGGAAAUGCUCGUACCUUGACGGUACCUUACGAGAAAGCCACGGCUAACUACGUGCCAGCAGCCGCCGUAA
rnacentral:rRNA from 1 species